AUGAUGCCGCUGAAGGGUUGCCAAAGAAAUGAGUACUCCUACACCAUUUUGAUUCAAGGUCUGUGCGAGGCGCAGUGUGUAAGGGAGGCACUUGCGCUGUUGUUGAUGAUGAGGCGGGAUUGGUGCUCCCCGGAUUCGCACACAUAUAAGUUCCUGAUCGGCAGCCUAUGUAAGGAGGGCAGGGUUGGUGACGCCAGGAUGUUGCUUGAAGAAAUGCCUCAGGGAGGUCCGGUUCCAAGUAGGGAGUACAAUGCAAUGAUCAUGGGGUACUGCAAGGCAGGAAUGAUGCAGGAAGCAUUGGGGAUUAAGGAGCUGAUGGAAGGAAAUGGGUGUCGCCCAGAUGAUUGGACAUACGGCAGUUUGAUCCAUGGCCUCUGUGGUGGGAAGAUAGACGAAGCUGAACAAUUACUGGAUAGUGCUGUUAAAGGAGGUUUUACACCUACGGUUGUUACAUUCACUAACUUGAUUGAUGGGUAUUGCAAAGCUGAAAGGAUUGAUGAUGCACUCAGGGUGAAAAAUAAUAUGUUGUUGAGUAAAUGCAAGAUUCAUGUAAAUGUGUAUGGAAAGUUGAUCAACAGCCUCAUUAAGAAGGAUAGGUUAAAAGAGGCUAAAGAGUUGCUAACUGAAAUUUCGACAACUGGUUUAGUUCCGAAUGUGGUCACCUACAGUUCUAUUAGUGAUGGCUAUUGCAAGACUCGGAAGGUGGAUUUUGCACUAGAGGUCUUAAAAAUGAUGGAAAGAGAUGGUUGCCAACCAAAUUCAUGGACCUACAACUCCCUGAUGUAUGGGUUGAUUCAGGGUAAACAACUUCACAAGGCAAUGGCACUAAUAACUAAAAUGCAAAAGGAUGGAAUAACUCCUGAUGUUAUCACCUAUACCACUUUGGAUCAAGGCUAG
rnacentral:rRNA from 1 species